UACGGAGGGUGCAAGCGUUAUCCGGAUUUAUUGGGUUUAAAGGGUGCGUAGGUGGAACUUUAAGUCAGUGGUGAAAGUCUGCAGCUCAACUGUAGAAUUGCCAUUGAAACUGAAGUUCUUGAGUAUGUUCGAAGUAUGCGGAAUGUGUUGUGUAGCGGUGAAAUGCAUAGAUAUGACACAGAACACCGAUAGCGAAGGCAGCGUACUAGGGCAUUACUGACACUGAUGCACGAAAGCGUGGGGAGCGAACAGG
rnacentral:rRNA from 1 species